UCCGUAGGCGGUCUUAUAAGUCAGUGGUGAAAGCCCAUCGCUCAACGAUGGAACUGCCAUUGAUACUGUAAGACUUGAAUGCUUAGGAAGUAACUAGAAUAUGUAGUGUAGCGGUGAAAUGCUUAGAUAUUACAUGGAAUACCAAUUGCGAAGGCAGGUUACUACUAAGUGAUUGACGCUGAGGCGCGAAAGCGUGGGGAGCAAACAGGAUUAGAUACCCGUGUA
rnacentral:rRNA from 1 species